AAGCUCAUACAUUUCUAUAACUAGAAAGUUCUUUUCAAUUUACUACCUCUCUGGGCUAUCAUAUUAACCCGUUAAGGACAGAAUCUUAAAAACUUUGUUUGCACCAAAAUAUUUUAUAAAUCAUUUAUUAUUUGCUUAUUUUCAAAUUGCUUAUAAUCACCUUCUGAAAAAAAUGACACAAACAUCAUUUUCUGUGAAGAAAUUUUCUGGUGUCCAGAUAACAUCUGAAACAUUGAAUAUUUGAUAAAAUUUCCUAGUUUAACGUCCUCCCUCUCAGUAACACCUUUCACUGGAAAUUGUGUAUUUACUCAGUUUAUCCCUACUUGCUUCUCUAACACAAUUAUUAUUCUUUUAGCUUUUCAAAAACCCUGUUUUAAAAUUAUAUUGAUUUAGUGUGUCUGUCUUUAAUAGAGUAGAAAUCCUCAACUGCUUUCCUUUGUAUGUCACCUGUUAAGCGUGAUUGUUAAACUGCAAUAGAACAUCCAGUUAAUUAGAAGAGUCAAGACUCUAUCCUGGCAUCGCCCACCUCCGAAAUUCAGCCACUUCGUGGAUAAAAAGCAACAGCUGUGAGAAAGCAGAGCGCUGCUAACAUUGCACACCUGGGCAAGGCAGGCAAUAAAUGGAAAGACUUUCUCUAUCUCAAUUUGCAGGGGCUUGUGGGGGUGGUGGUUUAAAAGCUGGAAUGUAAUGACCCCACUUGGGAAUCUGAACCAAAAACUCAGGGUUAAAUCCUGCCUUAUGAUACAAGAUGGAUACGGCCAUUAUCAAAGAGAAAGUCUGCUGAGCACCAGGCCAGAGCACAUCCUUGGGGAGGAGAGAGAGGCUGCCUCCUAUAGCAUUACUGCAGGUGCCAGCCACAGAGUAACUCCAUUCUCUUCUGGGUAGACCCAAGCUGGACCUACCAGAAGACUAUUUCACCUGAGGAACCAAAGGCACUCACUCCACAUACGCCUGACGCAGGUCUCCUUUCCCAGACAGUCUUACAAUUGAAGACUCAGUGCAUCCUGGGGAUCAUUAUCCACCCCCCCCCACACACACACACACCUGACCCCCACUACGAGCACACCAUCUGGGUUAAUUUCAAAGUACUGAAUGAGGCUUCCAUAGGGGUAUGGAGAUGGCAGGAAGAAGAGACAACUUAUGUCACUGCACGUUAGUGAAGUUGACAACCAAGACAGUCAGCCGUGGGUGAUUUGAUUAAGCACUGCUUCAGGGGUCUGCCUCUUUGAGUUGCUGAAAACUGGAUCUUAGAAACUGAGUCUCUGAAACAACCCACUACAUACCCAGGGCACUGGCAGACUAUGGGGCUGGCCCGUCCUGAAGAAGGUGGACCACCAUCCACACCUGGGCAAAGCCAACAGCAGCGCAUGCUAUUAGAGCUAAUGAGCAAGAGCAGACACCUGUGAUGUAAAAAUAAAUUAUAAAUAAAGAAAUACCAGCAAACUACCUGUUAGUCUCUACCUGUGAGGACCCAGGCAGGCUAAACGGCACCUUAAUUUCUAGACUCUCUCUUUGAUCACAGAAACAGACUGUGCGAAUAUUUCUAUUCCUUCUUUUCUUAGAGGCUUUCUUUUUUUUGGUCCUUAAUGGAGAUCUUGAACUGCAGAGCCGCCGUGUCAGAACUCAGAUGGUUAACAUUCACUUCUUGCUGUUUUAUUGCAUAUUACUGUGCGCGCCUGAGCAGCGGGAGCAGAUUCGGGCAAUUACAAUCAAGUCAGGGCACACGCCGCGGCGGAGCAACACGGGCAUGAUGAGGAUACUGAUGAGGCACUUAUCGAAAACCCCGCAUCAUCCACACUCAUCAGCCACAACAUGUCACCCCAAAUGAGGCAUCAGCUGCCUUCAAAAGGCUCAUUGCACAGUGUUUACCGCUUCCCUCGGACCCACUUUUGAUUUUACGGUCAGAGCUGGGUUCAAACAGCAGCUGUCUGGCAAAGACAGGUCUGCGGCUUCCAGCAGCUUCCCCCAGAGUCCUGGGGCUUUGUCUGGAGAGCUUUGGGGAGCAGGGCCCGGCAGGGCGAGGGGACGCGGGAAGGCAGAGAAGCGUCCAGUUCCGUUUCUCGCAAAGAGGAAUUUCUUUCCCAGAAGCGGCCCUUGAUUAAUUUCAAGCGCUAGCGCACAGUGGUGACAUAAUGGGGGUGGGGGAGGGGAGCGAAAGAGGGAGCCUUUCACAGAUCUCCUUAAAAUAGUAACAGGGUGGGUGGGACCUCUCACGCAGACACAAGUCUCAGAAGGGUCAAUCCCUUUGGAAAAGACAGCUCCAACCAGGAGAGCCGUUCAAGUGGUAAUUUUUAAUUCUUUCAUCAUCAACUCAUUCUUGGGUUGUUGGGGGGGCAGGGAGGCAUUUAUUAGCAAUUUAGGAGGCCUUUAUUUCAAACACCCUGUUUUUCUGCUAUAAAAGGAAGUGGAUAUAUUCCUAGUAAUACUCCUUAAAACUAUUCUUUGUUGCUUUGGGUUAAUGCAACUUGAAGCUAAACACUUGGGGGGAUCUAUUUGCUUACACUGAAAAUAAAAGAACGUGAAAACCCAUUGCCAUCUAUUUUUCAAUCUAUGUCAUUCCUGGGGGGAAGA
ensembl:lncRNA